UACGUAGGUGGCAAGUGUUGUCCGGAUUUAUUGGGUUUAAAGGGUGCGUAGGCGGUAAUUUAUGUCAGUGGUGAAAUACGGCAGCUUAACUGUCGAGGUGCCAUUGAUACUGGAUUACUUGAGUACUGAUGAGGUAGGCGGAAUGGACGGUGUAGCGGUGAAAUGCUUAGAGAUCGUCCAGAACACCGAUAGCGAAGGCAGCUUACUAAGGAGUAACUGACGCUGAGGCACGAAAGUGUGGGGAUCAAACAGG
rnacentral:rRNA from 1 species